UAGAGUUUGAUCCUGGCUCAGAACGAACGCUGGCGGCAGGCCUAACACAUGCAAGUCGUACGAGAAGGUUCCUUCGGGAACUGGAGAGUGGCGCACGGGUGAGUAACGCGUGGGGACCUACCUCUUAGUGGGGGAUAACGGUUGGAAACGACCGCUAAUACCGCAUACGCCCUUCGGGGGAAAGAUUUAUCGCUAAGAGAUGGACCCGCGUUGGAUUAGAUAGUUGGUGAGGUAACGGCUCACCAAGUCAGCGAUCCAUAGCUGGUUUGAGAGGAUGAUCAGCCACACUGGGACUGAGACACGGCCCAGACUCCUACGGGAGGCAGCAGUGAGGAAUAUUGGACAAUGGGCGGGAGCCUGAUCCAGCCAUGCCGCGUGCAGGAUGACGGCCCUAUGGGUUGUAAACUGCUUUUAUACGGGAAGAAACGCGCCCACGUGUGGGCGUUUGACGGUACCGUAAGAAUAAGGACCGGCUAACUCCGUGCCAGCAGCCGCGGUAAUACGGAGGGUCCGAGCGUUAUCCGGAAUCAUUGGGUUUAAAGGGUCCGUAGGCGGGCCUGUAAGUCAGGGGUGAAAGUUUGUGGCUCAACCAUAAAAUUGCCUUUGAUACUGCAGGUCUUGAGUCAUGGUGGGGUUGCCGGAACAUGUGGUGUAGCGGUGAAAUGCAUAGAUAUCACAUAGAACACCGAUCGCGAAGGCAGGUGACCAACCAUGUACUGACGCUGAUGGACGAAAGCGUGGGUAGCGAACGGGAUUAGAUACCCCGGUAGUCCACGCCGUAAACGAUGGAUACUAGCUGUGGGGACUUCGGGUCUCCGUGGGCCAAGCGAAAAGUGAUAAGUAUCCCACCUGGGGAGUACGUUCGCAAGAAUGAAACUCAAAGGAAUUGACGGGGGCCCGCACAAGCGGUGGAGCAUGUGGUUUAAUUCGAUGGUACGCGAGGAACCUUACCAGGGCUUAAAUGCAGGCUGCAUGGGGUAGAGAUACCCCUUUCUUCGGACCGCCUGCAAGGUGCUGCAUGGUUGUCGUCAGCUCGUGCCGUGAGGUGUCAGGUUAAGUCCUAUAACGAGCGCAACCCCUACCGUUAGUUGCCAGCAUGUCAAGAUGGGGACUCUAACGGGACUGCCGGUGCAAACCGUGAGGAAGGUGGGGACGACGUCAAAUCAUCACGGCCCUUACGUCCUGGGCUACACACGUGCUACAAUGGCCGGUACAGAGGGAAGCCACCCCGCAAGGGGGCGCGGAUCUACAAAACCGGUCACAGUUCGGAUCGGGGUCUGCAACUCGACCCCGUGAAGCUGGAAUCGCUAGUAAUCGGAUAUCAGCCAUGAUCCGGUGAAUACGUUCCCGGGCCUUGUACACACCGCCCGUCAAGCCAUGGAAGCCGGGAGUGCCUGAAGUCCGUCACCGCAAGGAGCGGCCUAGGGCAAAAUCGGUAACUAGGGCUAAGUCGUAACAAGGUAACC
rnacentral:rRNA from 1 species